CUUCUGGUAUAGAACAAGAAAAUGGGAGAACAGGGGAAGGGGAAAGAGAGUUACCAAUGGAAUCUUGGAGUAGGUUGCAGUGGAAGUCCUUUUCCUCUUGUCCUGUUCUUGAAGGUGGUGACCACUCUAGGGCCUAACCCUGGUCCAGACCAUGCAAAGAAAGAAAAAUCAAGGGAUACCAAUCAACUGG